rnacentral:rRNA from 1 species
ACCUUCGUUUCCUCGGCGGGUCCGCCCGCCGAUUGGACAACAUUCAAACCCUUUGCAGUUGCAAUCAGCGUCUGAAAAAACAUAAUAGUUACAACUUUCAACAACGGAUCUCUUGGUUCUGGCAUCGAUGAAGAACGCAGCGAAAUGCGAUAAGUAGUGUGAAUUGCAGAAUUCAGUGAAUCAUCGAAUCUUUGAACGCACAUUGCGCCCCUUGGUAUUCCAUGGGGCAUGCCUGUUCGAGCGUCAUUUGUACCUUCAAGCUCUGCUUGGUGUUGGGUGUUUGUCUCGCCUCUGCGUGUAGACUCGCCUUAAAACAAUUGGCAGCCGGCGUAUUGAUUUCGGAGCGCAGUACAUCUCGCGCUUUGCACUCAUAACGACGACGUCCAAAAGUACAUUUUUACACUCUUGACCUCGGAUCAGGUAGGGAUACCCGCUGAACUUAAGCAUA